AGGUGCGAUCAUACCGGCACUAAUGCACCGGAUCCCAUCAGAACUCCGCAGGAAAGCGUGCUUGGGCAAGAGUAGUACUAGGAUUGGUGACCUCCUGGGAAGUCCUCGUGGCUCGUACGGU
rfam:Glycine max cultivar Williams 82 chromosome 19, whole genome shotgun sequence.